ACACACACAUACACACAUACAAUUUCAAAUAUGGCAAAUGACAAAUGAGUAUGCCCAUAAAAGUGUUUUUCGAGAAGCUGUGUAAGGUAAUAACCUGCAGGUAAGGCGAUUCACUUUGACAAAUGAAAAUGGGAGUGUUAACUUAUCAAAGUCUCCGACUCUAUCAGCACCAAAUUACGUUUUCAGCCAGCUGAAAUGACCAGCUUAUUAAAACCCGUCCGAAGUAAUGGCAUUUAAAUAAAUAAACGAAGAGAACAGAGAGCCGCUGUUACCGUGUAAUUGGAGACAUCCCCUCUGGCCACCAGAGCAGUGAAACUCUGGCGCCGUGAAAGUGGAAAAGUCAGGGACGGAAUGGAGAGUUUGAGAUUAGAGGCUCUUGACAAAUUGCAAUCGUCAAUUGAUUGCACUCCUAAAUGGUGCUCUUGUAGAUUUGCCAACAAUGAAAGGGCUCUGAGUUUGCACUUAUGCUUACGUUCGGUUUGCGUGCGAGUGCUAAUUUUCCCUCUGGCGAAAGUCUUAGAGGAAACUUACGAUUCAGUUGAAUAUUAAACACAUUUCCUUUUUGCGUCCUGUUCACAAUUAGACGUUGCGACUGCGUUCAGAGUGCAAUAAUAGCUUACUACUUGUACUGAAAACAUCCUGAGAUUUUUUUUUAGAACUGUUAUUUAUUUAUUUUCAGUUUUGCAUGCACAUAUUUCAAGAUUCGGCCGUGGUAUUAAAUAAAGAGCAAAAAAUUAUUAUUAGCAUUACUCCCUGUACAUUUCCUGCACUGGAAAUGGAAAGUUGCAUCCAAAAAUUGCAUAUUCUUCUACUAUAUAGUGUGAGAACAAUUGUUACUAGGGAAUAUAGUUCAUGCAGUAGGCAAAAAAACCUACCGAAAACUCACUAAUUCAGAAAUGUGCAUCUGAUGAAUUUACUACUAUGAGUGGCAUUAACUGACGGUUUGAGGAUCCAGUGGUGUUACAAGGUUUGGUCAGAAGCUCCUUUGAAUGCUUUUCAUUGGCUAAAUAAUUGUAAAGUCCUCAAACAGACACGGUGGUGACCAAUAGCAUUGAUUUAAAAUAAUAACAACAAAAUAUAAUCGAGAUAAGGAAGUUUUUGAUAUUUUUCCACAGACUCAAUAACCUGCAGAUGCAUAUUAUACACAUUCGCACUAUAUAGAACUUGUAGAUACUUGCAUUUAAUGCUUGCUACACAAUUUUUUAUUAAAACAAAGAGAGUACGGUAUGUCGGACACAGCCGAAGGUUCAAGUCGAGAACAUUGGAUUAUAGGAUACAGUAUCCCAUGCAGUACUCGGCUAUUUCAAUCACGCUAGCUUCAUUUACUCGUUUUUUUUUUUCUAAUAUAAAACAGCACAUUGUUUGUGUGCACCAAAGGUUAAAUGUAGCACGUCUAAUGCAUUUCCAAAUGAGUAACCACCUGCAUACGAGUAGCUUAGCAUGCUAAAGAGUUUAAAAUAUGUUCCCCCGAAACUGGUUUAAUUCCCAUUAAAGACACACAGCAUACUUCAGAAAUAGCAAAAGUAACGUUCGCGUGCUAUACUGAAGAGAUGCGAUUUGUUACUCUCUCCAUUCUCUCGUUUAUCCUUAUUAAUUCCUCAUUUGUAUUCAAAUGAGUCUAAAUGCAUACAGAGGCUGGAAGUUCACUGUUCAUGGCCUCGUUAACGGCACCUUCCACUUUCCGUGAGGGCAAAAAAACACAAAGCUAAAUAAUGAAGAAUCUUCUCUGCUGUUUUCUCUUCCAGCGCCUUCAUAAUGUGCAGAUUUGCCAAUUAGUAACAUUUCUCAUGUGACACAGUCAACAGGGCGUUAAACGUCCCUCUGAAAUAACUUGGAAACGCUUGAAGGGAGACUCUAAAUGUCCACUCCAAACAUUCAAACAACUCCAACUUGCUACAAUACUUUUCCCCUCCUCAGAGAAAACGUACAGUUGGUGUUAAUCAAUCUAAAGACAUGGCAACCCCUGCAGCAAGACAUCAGGGAAAUUAUAUUGCUAAUGUUGGUAGCAAGGGUGGAUGAUAUGGCUGCAAUCGAAUUUCGAGCAACAACUCAGCGGAUUCCUACAGACCCUUCCAAUCCCCACUGAAAACCCCCCGCCGGCAGCUUCCCACCUACGUCAACACCUUCCUAGAUCGGAGACUCUACCGGCUCCCUGUAGAGACCUCCGGCAACACCAAAAAAAAAGAAGAGAAAAACAUUAAAACUCACUAAUGAGGUUUGUGGCAAAGCAUUCUGGGAUUGCCUUUAUCACAAAGGAUACAUUCAGUGCCAGAAGAAUUGGGCCAAAACAAGAAAGGACACUACAUAACUAUGCUAAGUAUAUGCCUUAAAAGCAAAGUUUUGCACCAAGCUGCUCUAUUCGGAUGAAUAUGUAUGUGACAGCAGAGGCACAUUUGAAUAUGCAAAUCUAGUAUGCAAUUAUCUUUACUGUGUGAUGUCCCGGUACCUAAAUAUUUCAGUAUUUCAGUAUAGUAGAUGAGAAAAUCAUUCUAUGCUUGCUAGAAGUCUGUAAUUAAAGAUAAUGUAUGGUGUGGAAACAGUCUUAUCAAGAGCACUCAUUUACAUCACUUCACGUAUGUUUAUCAGCUUCAUUUUAGCCCCCCAAAAAAUUCUAAUUAAAAUGGGUUUCACUGAUUAGUAUAAAUAUACUUCUUAAAAAGAAAUGUCAUGUUUACUAAUGGCAUAACCUGACUAUGCAGAUUCAAUAUUUAAUGACUAAAUAAAAUAAUAAUAAUAAUAAUACUACAAUUAAAAAACAUAUAUUAUAUUUCAGACAAAAUGUGUUACAUGCCCUGGUCACCCAUACAUGAAUGUCUUUCACACAGGGAUUUGGAGAGGAUUAAUUGCUUUCACGUCUUUAUUUCGAGGAUAGAAACACUGGAAGCUUCAUUCAAUGGCGAGUUAAAACCUUUGACAUGCUGUGAGAAUUUCUGAACAACUUUAAUUUGUGGCUUAUGGAGUUUGAGGAUUAUUCCCAAGAAAGCAUGAACCCAUUAAAGAGGGUCAAAAGGUGAAAGCCUGUGGCUCUCAUUAAAAAUAGGGUGAGUUUGCAACUGUGAAUGAGCAAAAUAAUAUUGAAAUACAAACUCACCAUCUGCAUGCAAUCUUAUGAAGCCACAAAGUCUACAUUUCUUCCUGUGGUAACUGUUGCUUGAGAGUUUCACAUAUUGCAAUGUUAUGUUUCAUAGUAGAUA